rnacentral:siRNA from 1 species
GGCGGUAACCCUUCUGAGCUAAGUAGACAAGGUGUGUGUUGAGUGUAGCGUGAGGAUUUUUUCACUUCCAAUUUUGGAAGUGAAUGGGUUAAGGUGUGAUGAGUGCUUUAGCAAAAGGUCUCUCUUAAGCCCAACCACGUACACCUGAGACAAGGCCUGUCUACGAUGACACAAGGGCUUCACACCUUUGUGUGAGCCCUUGUUGUUUUGUCUAUCACUCCUGAGCUA